GAUGAACGCUGGCGGCGUGCUUAACACAUGCAAAUCGAACGAAGCACUUUAUUUGAUUUCCUUCGGGACUGAUUAUUUUGUGACUGAGUGGCGGACGGGUGAGUAACGCGUGGGUAACCUGCCUUGUACAGGGGGAUAACAGUUGGAAACGGCUGCUAAUACCGCAUAAGCGCACGGCAUCGCAUGAUGCAGUGUGAAAAACUCCGGUGGUAUAAGAUGGACCCGCGUUGGAUUAGCUAGUUGGUGAGGUAACGGCCCACCAAGGCGACGAUCCAUAGCCGAGCUGAGAGGGUGACCGGCCACAUUGGGACUGAGACACGGUCCAAACUCCUACGGGAAGCAGCAGUGGGGAAUAUUGCACAAUGGGCGAAAGCCUGAUGCAGCGACGCCGCGUGAGCGAAGAAGUAUUUCGGUAUGUAAAGCUCUAUCAGCAGGGAAGAUAAUGACGGUACCUGACUAAGAAGCACCGGCUAAAUACGUG
rnacentral:rRNA from 1 species